UACGUAGGAUGCAAGCGUUAUCCGGAAUUAUUGGGCGUAAAGCGUACGUAGGCGGUUUACCAAGUCCUGGAGUUAAAGACCGAGGCUCAACCUCGGGAGUGCUCUGGAAACUGGAUGAGGCUGGAGGACGGCAGAGGAAAGUGGAAUUCCCAGUGUAGCGGUGAAAUGCGUAGAUAUUGGGAGGAACACCAGUGGCGAAAGCGACUUUCUGGGCCGUUCCUGACGCUGAGGUACGAAAGCCAGGGGAGCAAACGGG
rnacentral:rRNA from 1 species